CGUGAGUAACCUGCCUUGGAGUGGGGAAUAACACAUCGAAAGAUGUGCUAAUACCGCAUAAUGCAGUUGGGCCGCAUGGCUCUGACUGCCAAAGAUUUAUCGCUCUGAGAUGGACUCGCGUCUGAUUAGCUGGUUGGCGGGGUAACGGCCCACCAAGGCGACGAUCAGUAGCCGGACUGAGAGGUUGACCGGCCACAUUGGGACUGAGACACGGCCCAGACUCCUACGGAAGGCAGCAG
rnacentral:rRNA from 1 species